CCUGCAUGAUGCUAUCACACGCACAGUACACAAGCCAGUGCAGAAUCAAACAUAUAACAACUGAAUUCUCACAAAUCCUUAACUUGCUUAUCCCGAAAUGCCAACCCAACAGGUGAUAUGCAGGAAAGGGAAGGCAGUGCUGGUGAGGGUCUAUGUGGAGAAGCCAAGGAAGACGACGGCGCCGUUGAAUCAUCAUCUUCUUCACCACCACCACUAUUACCAUCUUCACCAUCACUACCAUGUAGCUCAUCAUAAUGGCCAUGUCCGUCAAGGAUAUGACAGAAGAGCAGAACUUCUCAGGUACUCGCAGUUCUUGCGAAACUCUGUACGAAAAGAACAAUCCACCACCUUAUUACCCUCCAAGCAGAUUUCAGACAAUGUUAAUGAGAAACCUUCAACCCAGUUUUGACUCUGAAUUACUAGGAUCAGUUGGUCUUUUUUCUUCUUCAUUUUGAAGGUUGUCCCUUCCAAAAGAAAGCAAAUGCAUGAAGGAAACUCGUACGGUUGCUUUGGCAAUUGGAAACUAUUGAUUCCGGGUUUCUUGAGAUCAAGGACGAGCGCUAAACCUAAGAACAGAAAGAAGAAACAAGAAAUGCAAAAUGGGUUGUCUCUCAGUCAGAUAGCAAACGCCAUGAAAAUAUCGAGGGUGAAAACAAGAAAAGGUUUCAUUCGUAAAAUGUUUUCAUCAACACGCAAGCAUUGUUGAGGUUUGGUUCCGAAGGCGUUUUCCUCUCAAGUUGAUAUGUCACCAUCAUAAACCAGACCCAUUAUCUUAAAUUCAAGUCUUCCUCCCUUUUACUGUCAUUUACUGUUAUUAACUGCAUUCCGAUUUUUUC